UACGAAGGGGGCUAGCGUUGCUCGGAAUCACUGGGCGUAAAGGGCGCGUAGGCGGUGACUUAAGCGUGUGGUGAAAGCUCGGGGCUCAACCCCGAGUCGGCCGUGCGAACUGGGUCACUGGAGCGGAUCAGAGGCAGGCGGAAUUCCGGGUGUAGCGGUGGAAUGCGUAGAGAUCCGGAAGAACACCGGUGGCGAAGGCGGAUCUCUGGGCCAUAACUGACGCUGAGGAGCGAAAGCAUGGGGAGCGAACAGG
rnacentral:rRNA from 1 species